rnacentral:rRNA from 1 species
GGAAUAUUGGACAAUGGGCGCAAGCCUGAUCCAGCCAUGCCGCGUGUGUGAAGAAGGCCUUCGGGUUGUAAAGCACUUUUGUACGGGAAGAAAAGCACUCGGUUAAUACCCGGGUGUCAUGACGGUACCGUAAGAAUAAGCACCGGCUAACUUCGUGCCAGCAGACGCGGGAAUACGAAGGGUGCAAGCGUUACUCGGAAUUACUGGGCGUAAAGCGUGCGUAGGUGGUUUGUUAAGUCUGAUGUGAAAGCCCUGGGCUCAACCUGGGAAUUGCAUUGGAUACUGGCAGUCUAGGGUGCGGUAGAGGGUAGCGGAAUUCCCGGCGUAGCAGUGAAAUGCGUAGAUAUAGGAAGGAACACCAGUGGCGAAGGCGACCACCUGGACUGAUACUGACACUGAGGUGCGAAAGCGUGGGGAGCAAAC